rnacentral:lncRNA from 1 species
UACAUGGUCCACCAUUUGAUCAAUCUCACUUUUCUCUUGUGUCUCCAUCAUCUCUCUUGUCGCACUUGUCUGUCCAACCUCUCUUUUCUCUUUUCUUCUACCCAUUUUCUGGCCGUUGUUGCAAAACUGAACAAGAACUCACUAGAUGAAAAGAAAAAGAAAAAAGAAAGAAUCAAUAGUGCAUCAAUUAAUCAAAUCCAGAUUCUUAAAAAAUCAACUGAAUGCCAAUCUUUCAGCCAUUCUAUCCAAGAACACAUACCAACAUAUGAGUAAAAUUUGAAAAGAAAAACAAAAAGAACUGAUUGGUUAAUCACAUUAAGGAUAAAAAAAUCAAAAAAUUAUACAAUAUCUAAAAGAAGAAUGUCUAACGAAACAUUCACCAAAAUAAUAUUUUUUAAAGCCAUCCCACUAAUGAUAUUCAAAAAAUCCGACCUAAAAUUAAAAAAAGAACCAAUAAUCUUACUUAGUAAAGAAACAAGAACAAAAAAAGAUAGUAGAACAAAAGGGAAAAGUUAAAAGAAACUCAUGUCCCAAUGAGUAUAUUUCUCUAAAACCAUUAUAUUUAACAAAAACUAUGGAUCAAAAAACUUUCAAAUAAUAUCUCAUAAGUAUUGGAGUGAAAGAUUCGAGUUAUAAAAAGUUAUACACUGAACAGCAGAUUGACAAAGAUUCAAAAAGAUAUUAGUCGAGAAAAAGGAAUGAUAAACACACCAAAAUUCAAAAAAAAAGAAUUAUCAAUAGAUUCCAAUGAAAGAAAAUAUGUUAUGUGUGUAUGUUGGGGGACGGUGGGGAGAGACCUUCGUGAGCUCGAGAAGUCUUUGAUGACGCCAAUUAUUCCUCCAAUGAAAUCUUGAGUCUUUCGCUUAUUUAUAAAGGUUUGAGAGAGAGAGGAAUGGAGAAGAAUGGAGAGAUGAGGAACUCUCGGGGGAGAACUGAGUACGGAGGAAAAUAUAAGCCAUUCUCUCGUGGAUUUUUUUUUUCUUGAUAAAGAUUUUCUUGUGGAUUUGAGUUCAAACUACUUCAAAGGUACUUUGAAUGUGAAAAAAUUGAUUAAAUGACUAAAAGAAGAGGCAGAACUUUUAGUCAAUGGCAGAUUUUAAACCAUCCAAAGGAACAUCUAUGUUGAUGUAUAUCAAUUGCUGAGACAAGAAAAUAUUAUUAACCCAGGGGCCUUCUAUCACACUGGUAUUCUCUGAAGUGCCCACAAUCCAUGAAUAUUGAUCCAUAAUCCAUUACCAGAGAACUAGCUUAAUAUACUGCCUUCCAAAUGGAUAAGCAUGUGUUAGAGUGCGGAUCAUGAUCCAAACACCAUGAAGACUAUAUUUAGUAGCAAUGAUAUGAUUAACCCAACUGACACUUAGAAUAGGCAGCAAGGAAGAACCAGCAGAGGGCUCAGCAAAAGCAAGCAAACAAAGGCCAACCAAAGAUCAGCAUGCCACUAUCCUACCACUUGCCAAUGCAAGUAAUAGUCAACCCUGGCAGUGUUUGCAGAAAUCUAUACACUACAUUAACCCUAUGUUUGGUCGGGAUCAUAAGAGGAUGGAUGGAUGAGGUUGGAAGGAUGGCCUCCAUCCACCGUUUGAUUCAAAAAGUUGCAGGCAGGAUGGAUGAAAGAGGGGUUGUCCAUCCACCCUGGCCCAUCAAUUUGCAUCCUCUCAAAUUGAAAAGAUGCAAGGAUGGAUGGAGCAUUGAUGAGAAGAUUUUUGCAUUGAAAAAAUUAUCCCUCAUUAAUUUUUUUGACAAAACUAUAAUAUUUCUUCACUUUUCAUUCAUAUUAUUUAUAUAUAUUUUUAUAUAUACUAUUAAUCAUAUACUAUUAAAUUUUGUUACUAAUUAUUUUAAUUUUAGUACAUAAUUUUGAUAAUUAUAAUUAAAUAAUUAGAAUUAUCUUCUAUUUCUCUAUUUUUAUUUAUUAUUUUUAAUUAACUAUUUGUAUAAUAUUAAUUAACUAUUUAAAUUAAAUUAUAAAUUAAUUAAUUAUUUAUAUAAGUAAUAUAUAUAAUUAAUUUAUUAAUAUUUCAUUCAUAAAAUUAUUUAUUAAAUUAAAUUAAAAUUAAAUACUUAUAUAAUUUUUUAUAUAAUUAUAGAUUAUAAUGAUUAUAAGCUUAUACCUUGUUUACUUCUUUAGUAUAAAUAAGUGUUAUAAAUUGAUAAUGAUAAUUUUUUUAUCAAAGGAUAGUUUGGUAAAAAUAUUAUAUAAAUAUCAUCCAUUCUCUCUUUCAUUCCUUCCAUACCAAACGGAAGAGAAGAUUAUUUUCAUCCAUCCUUCCAUAUUUAAUCAAGCAUAUGAAAUAUGGAAGGAUGGAUGGAAGAUACAUCUAUCCUCUCCCUCAUCCAUCCUUCUUCCAUCCAUCCUCUCUCUUAUCCAUCCUCCUACAUCCAUUCUUCUUUCAAUCCAUCUUUGUACCAAAGGAGGUUAAAGGAGAGUCCAAAGCCUCCCCAUGCCACUUCAUGAUAUGUGGUGCCUCUCAUUGACAACACAUGCCUGCUUCUGAACUCCCCUAUGCAAACUAAAAAAAAAGAGUGGUGGGAUUUCCUUUUUCCUUUUAGCAAGAUACAUGAGAACAGAACACCUUGAAUUGAAAUUUUUGUUAUCCAAAGAAGAAUCCUUUCGACGGAAAAUCACUAAACCCUACAAUCAUGCUUCUACCAAGAUUAAGCUCUCAAAAUCUCAAAGAGCCAACUCACACCACCACAACUCGCAUAAUAUCCUUGAGAAAAAAAAACCCCCAAUCAAAACUUAAGAAACCUCUCCGACAAAAUGAAACAAAAGCCAAAAGAAAAAAAACUGAUCAAUCUAUGUGGGAAAAGGUCUUACCUUUUAUUUUUUUCCAUCUUUCCCUAUUUUUGUUGAUUUUUUUAUGUUUUCCCCCAACUUUUCCUCUGUUUUUUCCAUCCCCAUGAGUCUCAAUCAGGUGGGAGGCUUGGAGUAGCAAUUGAAUAGGGAAGCUCAGACGAUGGCUAGGCUUUUUGUUGGGUGCUUAUAUAUUUAAUUUUUUUUCCAUCUUUCCUCGGGAGUCUUAAUUGGAUGGAAGGCUUGGAGUGGCGGCCAAAUAAAGAAGCUGAGAUGACGGCUGGGUUUUUCUAUUGGGUAGUGUUGCACCCUAAAUCUGGGACAUAACACGGCCAUACUAUCGAGAGAUGCUACCCUCGAUAAUACAAAGUCUAAUCAGUUAAAAUCUAUCAUAAAUAAAAUAUGAUAAAAGAUUCAAUUCUACCAUUCAUCAAGUAAUUAAACUAAGAUUGGUUCAGAGUAUCUAAAUCCAAAAUCAAAUACCAAACCUAUAUCUCAAAAUUCAUAAAUAGUUAACUACAAGUCUAAGAUAAUCUAAUAAACUAAGUUUUAACUACAAAAUUCUUAAGCUUGAUAUGCAGACCCCUAAUCCUGGAUCCUUCAUCAUUCCAAACCUUAUACCUCUUUUUUAAGAAAAAAAACUAAAGAGGUAUGAGUUACACUAGCUCAAUAAGUAAAACCCAUACUUCCUUACCAGAUCAAGCAUAAACUUUUACAUGAUAAUGCAAUAUUUAAAAUAAUAGAUAUUACAAAAAUAAAUUACUUCAUAGAUUAUAUAAUAAAAUAAAUCAUAAACCAGUCAUCCAUGCAUAAAUUAUAAAUAUUUUGUAAAUAUAAUUCAUAAAUCAUUCUUGUCAUAUAUUCAUAUCAUAUUUUAAAAUAUUACUCUCAGAUGUUUAUACUACAGUCAUUUUAUAACUGUGACAAGGUCAGUGUUCCUGAUCGACAAAAUUCUUAUUUUGUAUGCCAACUUUAUACUCACUGGAAAGACAUAUGUUCUUAUGAAUGCUAGCUUCGAAUGUUGCCUUCCCAUAGAGAUUCAUUCAUAGCUAUCUGAGAGUUUUUUAAAUCUUUUUUUUUAAAAAAAAGAUACAUAUAUGUAGGUGAAAAAAUAAUAAAUUCAUAUUUCAUAAACAUGUUAUUUUUAUAAAAUAUAUUUAUAGAAUCAAUGAUCAUAAUAAAACAUAAUUUUUCAUAUCUCAUAUGAUGAUCCAUAUUUUAUAAAAAAAUAUGAUUUCAUCAACAACUGAUUAUUUGCAUGAAAAAUAUGAUAAUUUAAAAAAAAUAAGUAGCAUAAAAUCCACUUACCUUGUUUGCUCUAAAUCUUUAGACUCCGUUCGAAGAAUCAGAUAAUCAUAUUUAAAAUAUCAAAAAUAUGAUCAAUUUCUAUUCAAUGAAUUCAAUAAAAUUAAAUCAUAAAAAAAGAGAACUGUUGAUCGGAUGUUCGAUCCGAUAGGUUGUCUAGGCAUUGGAUAAUUCAAGGUCCCCUAGACGAGGGUCAGAGCUAAGCGACUUGAUUAAAGAAUCAUGAAGCAUGGAUUAGAUCAAGACCAAGAUCGAUCAACGGAUUCAUCAAUAGUAGAUUUCAGAAAUACUCAAUAUGGCCGUAUUGAAAUUGACGUACAGCACGAAUAUCAAAGCAGUUUUAGAUCAUCUUGUUGGAAUCAACAUAGAUAUAUAGAAGAGGAAGGCAUGGCUCGAAACUGGAGUCCCUAGAUCUUCUUAGAGAGAAAAAAUAGGUGAAGAGAGAAAAACUAGAGAGAGAAAAUAGAGAUAGAAUCUCUGUAUCCCUCAAAAAGCAAAUCAUGAUUGAGAUCAUCGGGGGUCAUAACAGAGUGACUCAAUAGAGGUUAACAGUGAUCAGAUUCUAUGAAUAUCUAGUAAGGGUCGGACUAAGAUUUGACAUACUAUAUGGACAUCAAAGUGAUCCGGAUCUUUUUGAAAAAAAUCAUCUCAAGUUCGUACUGGAGUCCAUGGAUCAAGUAGAGAAAGAGAGAGAGUAGAGAGAGAAAGAGAGAUGGUAGAGAGAGACAUAAGAGAGAAGGAGAGAGAGAGACAAGAGUCCGCUCUUUUUCUUUUUCUUUUUUUCUUUUCUUCUUAUUUUCUUUUCUUCUUCUUCGUUUCUUAUCUUCUACCUUUUCUUGGCCGAACAGGGGAGGGAUACGGGUGGGGUUUGGUGCUCCAGCGGGGUGCCGCGGCACAGCCAGAGGUCUAGCAGCGGGAGGCCGACAGCGGUGGGCAGAAGUGGACGGCCGGCGGCAGUGGUUGCCGGUAAGAAAUCAUGGAAAAAGGGCUCGAAAAAACAGGGCAUCCGGGGGCUUUUCUUUGUUUUUGGCCGUCGGCCGUGGACUUGCUGUGUAGGGUUGAGGGGAGGUCGGCGUAUUCGGCCUAGGACCCGGCUUCAAGGGACGGAGACGCCGCCGGCUGGAAAAAGAAAAUAAAAACUUGGAAAAACAGGGGAUGAACAGAGUUCUUAUUUUGCGGUGGGAUUCCGAUGAAACCGGCGGCCGUCGGUGGUGCUUAAGGUCAAGAGAAGAUGGGGAAGAGGGAGAGGAGGUGGGAUUGGGGCCUUACCUUGGCUCUGUGGGCUCUUAGCUUCGAUAUCCGGCGGGCGUAAGCACAGGAGGCCGCGGCUUCAAAAGGAGAAAAGAGGGAGAAGGAGGCUCGAUGAUUGCUGGUGCGGGCCCACAGGGGACGUGGGGGAAACUUGUAGAGAGCCUUAGGGUCUUCCCAGCCCUAGGACUCCGACACUUCUCGGAUUCAAUCGGAGAAGAAGGCUUCC